UUGGGGUCUGUGCGGUGCAGUGUUGUGUGAGUUCGACACGUAUUUGGCAGAUACUGUGAGAUGAUGCCACCGCGAUCUCAAAGUGCACCACACACAAAUUUCACACGUGGUGGCCGUUCAAAGUGCCUGGGUCAAUAUUUAAUCAUAUUCAACAAAUUCCAACUAAUUACACAUUAUGCACUUUUAAGUACGCCUGAUUGCAGUGCUGUGUCCCAGCCAGCACUCGUACUCGUAGUUCGGUUCAAGUGUUAAUGAACUCGCCAUUGUUGUCGUUAAUUGUCUACAUGGAUUUGAUAAUCCCAAGAUAAUCACAAGAAUAGUGGGCCCAUUAGGGUGUUUGAUAAUAAGCGAUUAUUUCGCAGCCCCGCCUGCCGGCAACACCUGUUUAAAUCGCCCCAUUAGCUCGGGGUCUCCACUUUCAUUACCAGCUGUCAGUACGGGGAAUCCGACUCAACGUAGAUCGCACACAAGUGGCAACGCAGAAGCUUGGAAUGAAACUGAGCUGGGGAUCGCUUAGAACAGUAGAUUUUAUGAACAGAAGUCUCAAUGGAAAAAGUCGAGAAAAAGCGCAAUAAUAAUGACUAUAAACCAGUAUGCGAGAACGAGCAACCAGCAUCUGAAAAUAGGGAGAGCCAGCUCGAUGAAACGGCGAUGGAAACACCCUUAAAAACGCAAUUAAGUCAAAUUUGCAGAUUAACAGUACACAUUUAUUCGAAACAAAAUGAAACUAAGUGCUGAAUCUAGUAUUUAUGUUUUUAUCUUUUAUCUUUUUAUCUUUUUUCAUCAUUUCUUAUUAGUUUUGGUUACAUGGUAGCAAGUGCAUCAAUAUUCACGAUUUCACAAAGUUCACAAUUUUCCCAUACAUCAGCUGAAAUUCCCAACUUGGCAGGGUACAAACUGCAAUCCGCAUAUUGAGAGAUCUUUGCUGAUGCUUGUCAAACGAGAAUCAACAGCAUUUGAGGAGUAGAGAAUAUUUCUGGACGAUAUUCGAUGCUGUGCAAGUUCAAUGAGCUCCGGUGACGUCACUGUGUGAAGGGUGCUCCACUACCAAGCAGAAAUUCCGAGUAAUUCGAAUGAAACAAUGAAAUGCUUAUCCAGAAUCCUCAUGUUUUGUUUGCACUAUUCAAAACUUGUUUCUGAGCCGGAAUGAAAAUCACAACGGGAUGGGGAGGGACAUGCCCCUUUUUGACGUCUUGUUGGGCAAGGUUAGGCAAAAUGGCAGAAAGAAAACCCGUUCACUUGGAGCCAUGGCCUUACCUUUGGAAUAUUCAUAUUACCAGGUGGUUAAUUGAAAAGCAAUCUGCACUUCAACGGUGCGAAAUUUAAUUGCACAAAUGCAACUUUAGCUGCAAUCUUUGUUAAUUUUAAGUAAAUAUAGCACAUUGAUGUGGGAAACAAUAUUAAGCAUAUGAAAGGAUCAA